ACCCGACAGACCCUGUUCAAGUCAAUCAGGUCUAUGUGCUCUGAAUAUUCAGGAUCGAUUGGUAAAAAAAAAGAGCUGAAUGAACCCGGAACCAUCCAUACAGAGGUCUCUGGCCUUCAUCUGUAUUCUGUUCCAAUGGACAUCUUUCUGGAGGUCACUCCCUUCUUAAUCACUUCCUCUUGCGGAAGUCGGCAGAUGUGGCGUUCAACUUUGACGUAGCAGUUUUUUGGGUCACGGCAUAGUACUGCAUUAUCAGGGAAGGUAGCCAGAGAGACGCUUACGGCCGGGGCAGAUCUCCCAGCGUUCGGCUCCCUGUGAUCUUGGAACCCCG